rnacentral:rRNA from 1 species
AUGGUCAAGGACUUGGACUAUCCAGAAAUGGCAAAGAUGGAUUUCUGCCAGGUAACCGUUAAAAGUAUUAGGGAAGGAGCAAAGACAUGGAAGAAGCACAGAUUGUUGCCUCAGGAAGAAAAGAACAAAAAGCAUCUCAAUGGUUUGGCGCAGGGACCAGUAAUAAUGUACCUCGACUGCAUGCUGCUGCCGACCGACACAAAACAAACGCGGAAGAUUGCCAACACAAUGGACAAGACAUCGUUACCGCGAGCAAACCACCUAAAAGAGAGUGACCUAAGGAAAAUAGCUAGAGCAGACAUGAAAACGAACGGAAAAGCACGACCAGAUGACUAUAAAUUUGGCAAGAUACAGACAUGGAAAGGAACAACAGAGAGGAUCUUCUAUGCCAACAAAGCAACACCUUCGUAUUCAACACAGAUGAUACCAGCACAACAACAGGAGCACCAGCAAACGACCAAGCUACUACCACCUCCAACCAAGCGACGGGACAGAGCACAUGUCAGCACAAGUGGAAGCAAGGAACCAGUCACAGGCACCAGCAUGGGAUCAUAUGAAAUAUUCGGAAGGAUAGAAGAAAUGUUGAAACAAGUACUCGACGAAACAGAACAGAUACCCAGAAUAACGACCAGGGCUAGACACCAAUGCAGCAAACAAGAGAAGGAAUUAGAUGAAAGCAUGAGGAACACAGUGGUGCGACAAACAACGGCCGUGAUUGAUUCUCUCGAACAACUUAGAGAGUUCCAGGACAUUGUUCACAGAGUGAGCUUUCAAGAAGAGACGACACUGAAGAUGCAGGAUCGAGCAGACGUAGGAGACACAGCUGCACUUGUACAUGGCAACCACACAAAAGAAGUCGUAGCCGCACCAGAACUAGGAGGGAGGAGAAAAAGAAAGAAGGAAGACCGGGACCAACAAAACAAACAUGAAGGGAAGAAAAGAAUAACAAAAUCAAGAACACAGAACUCGAGAAUUGGCCAGUGGGAGACACAAGAGCAUAACAAGGUGCAAAAGGAGCAAAACAAGGACAACGUAUCAACCAACACAUCAAGUGCCGAAGGACAGCAAGAACAAGGUGGAAAAGUAGCUGCAGAAGCAGAGAAUCAAGAUGAGAAAUAG